rnacentral:tRNA from 1 species
GGGGUUGCAGUUCAGUGUAGAUCAUUUUCUUUGCAAGCAGAAGGUGCCAGGUUCGAUUUCUGGCAACUCCA